UACGAAGGGGGCUAGCGUUGCUCGGAAUCACUGGGCGUAAAGGGUGCGUAGGCGGGUUUUUAAGUCAGAGGUGAAAUCCUGGAGCUCAACUCCAGAACUGCCUUUGAUACUGAGAAUCUUGAGUAUGGGAGAGGUGAGUGGAACUGCGAGUGUAGAGGUGAAAUUCGUAGAUAUUCGCAAGAACACCAGUGGCGAAGGCGGCCGCCUGGGCCAGUCCUGACGCUGAGCCGCGAAAGCGUGGGGAGCGAUCCGG
rnacentral:rRNA from 1 species